rnacentral:lncRNA from 1 species
CUGGGCAAUGGCGGGCGCCCCUCCCCCAGCCUCGCUGCCGCCUUGCAGUUUGAUCUCAGACUGCUGUGCUAGCAAUCAGCGAGACUCCGUGGGCGUAGGACCCUCCAAGACAGGUGUGGGAUAUAAUCUCGUGGUGCGCCGUUUUUUAAGCCCGUCGGAAAAGCGCAGUAUUCGGGUGGGAGUGACCCGAUUUUCCAGGUGCCGUCCGUCACCCCUUUCUUUGACUCGGAAAGGGAACUCCCUGACCCCUUGUGCUUCCCAAGUGAGGCAGUGCCUCGCCCUGCUUCGGCUCGUGCACGGUUCGCGCACCCACUGACCUGCGCCCACUGUCUGGCACUCCCUAGUGAGAUGAACCCAGUACCUCAGAUGGAAAUGCAGAAAUCACCAUCUUCUGCGUCGCUCACGCUGGGAGCUGUAGACCGGAGCUGUUCCUAUUCGGCCAUCUUGAAUUGUAGGCAUUUUUAAAAACAGACUCUGGAGAUGAAUCUUUUCUAGUUAUAUACUUUGUAUUACAUUUAUGCACUGUCUGCUGCCAAAGAUCUGAAACCAAUGAUCUCAUAUAUAUGGUACAGUUUUCUAGUUAUUUACAGUGG